rnacentral:rRNA from 1 species
UACGCAGGGGGCUAGCGUUGCUCGGACUCACUGGGCGUAACGCGCACGUAGGCGGCUUUUUAAGUCCGGGGUGAAAUCCUGGAGCUCAACUCCAGAACUGCCUUUGAUACUGAGAAGCUUGAGUCCGGGAGAGGUGAGUGGAACUGCGAGUGUAGAGGUGAAAUUCGUAGAUAUUCGCAAGAACACCAGUGGCGAAGGCGGCUCUCUGGGACGGUACUGACGCUGAGACGCGAAAGCGUGGGGAGCGAACAGG